rnacentral:rRNA from 1 species
AGAGUUUGAUCCUGGCUCAGGACGAACGCUGACGGUGUGCUUUAGGCAUGCAAGUCGAACGAGAAAGCCCUUUGGGGUGAGUAAAGUGGCGAACGGGUGAGUAACACGUGGGCAACCUGCCCCUCGCAGGGGGACAACCGGAGGAAACUCCGGCUAAUACCCCGUACGCUUGCUGGAUCGCAUGGUCCGGCAAGGAAAGGUAGCUUCGGCCAUCCGGCGAGGGAUGGGCCCGCGUUGCAUUAGCUAGUUGGUGGGGUAACGGCCUACCAAGGCGACGAUGCGUAGCUGGUCUGAGAGGAUGAUCAGCCACACUGGGACUGAGACACGGCCCAGACUCCUACGGGAGGCAGCAGCCAGGAAUCUUGGGCAAUGGGCGAAAGCCUGACCCAGCAACACCGUGUGGGCGAUGAAGGCCUUAGGGUCGUAAAGCCCUGUUGAUAGGGACGAAGGGCGAAGGGUUAAUAGCCCCUAGCUUGACGGUACCUUUCGAGGAAGCCCCGGCUAACUACGUGCCAGCAGCCGCGGUAAUACGUAGGGGGCGAGCGUUGUCCGGAAUUAUUGGGCGUAAAGAGCGUGUAGGCGGUUCGGUAAGUCUGCUGUGAAAUCCUGGGGCUCAACCCUGGGCGUGCAGCGGAUACUGCCGGGCUAGAGGGUGGUAGAGGCGAGUGGAAUUCCGAGUGUAGCGGUGAAAUGCGCAGAUAUUCGGAGGAACACCAGUAGCGAAGGCGGCUCGCUGGGCCACACCUGACGCUGAGACGCGAAAGCGUGGGGAGCGAACAGGAUUAGAUACCCUAGUAGUCC